ACGCACGCUGGCGGCGUGCUUCACACAUGCCAGUCGCACGGAAAGGCCCUGCUUUUGUGGGGUGCUCGAGUGGCGAACGGGUGAGUAACACGUGAGUAACCUGCCCUUGACUUUGGGAUAACUUCAGGAAACUGGGGCUAAUACCGGAUAGGAGCUCCUGCUGCAUGGUGGGGGUUGGAAAGUUUCGGCGGUUGGGGAUGGACUCGCGGCUUAUCAGCUUGUUGGUGGGGUAGUGGCUUACCAAGGCUUUGACGGGUAGCCGGCCUGAGAGGGUGACCGGCCACAUUGGGACUGAGAUACGGCCCAGACUCCUACGGGAGGCAGCAGUGGGGAAUAUUGCACAAUGGGCGGAAGCCUGAUGCAGCAACGCCGCGUGCGGGAUGACGGCCUUCGGGUUGUAAACCGCUUUCGCCUGUGACGAAGCGUGAAUGACGGUAAUGGGUAAAGAAGCACCGGCUAACUACGUG
rnacentral:rRNA from 1 species